AUGCCACCAACAGAACUCCUCUCCCUUUCCAACAGCUACGGCAUGCUCAACAGCUUUGGUUGAAAACUUCCUCCACCACUGGCUGGGUGUGAGGGUUCGUCAAUCUGGUCCGUCGGGAAGUACACAGAAAGAAUUUAAUGUUUUGUUUUUGUGAUGAAGUGUUUACCAGUGAGAAUGGGAAUGUCCCCAGAACAAAUCGCUGGGCUACGAUGACACCUGCCAACCUUCUGGCCAUCGAGACUUUACUUUCAUCGUUAAUAUUAUAUAUUUUUGAUUAUUGUUAUGAGUAUUCAUAUUAGUCUUUAUAUUUGAACACCCAUCGGACAGGGAAAACUACAAUGGCAUUCCUCUCCGGGCUCGGAAGAACUUAUUUUUCUCCUGGUCUCUUUAGGAUGACCCGCGCUAUCUUGUUCAUCCUGGGGAUCUUUGUGUGUCUUGCACCGAUACUGGAGGUCAACAGCACACAGGCACUCUACAACAAGGAUCGUUCCCUGAAGGAUGAGCUCUACCAGACACUGAAGGAGUUUACAACUCAAAUACGCCUCCAUUAUGUUGUUCUCGAGGAGUUGUUCACGAUUUGGAAGAACUUCUUGUUCUCCUGGUCUAUUUAGGAUGACCCGCACUGUCUUGUCCAUCCUGGUGAUGUUUGUGUGUCUUGCACCAAUGCAGGAGGUAUACAGCACACAGGAUGACAUAAAGAAGAAGAUUCAAGCUUUGGAAUUGAAGGCCAAUUCCCUGAAGGAUUACUGCAAUACUAAGAAGGAGGCAAUCUUUAAAAUGUUGGAAAAGGACGAUCAGUCACUUGACGCUGCAUUGGCCAAAGCAGAAAAACGCGAGGGGCCCGUGUUUGCAGCAAUAAAGGACAAACUUGAGAUGGCGAAGGAGUCGAACUCUGAACGAAAAGCUCAAUUGCAGCACUUCACUCAUGUCUGUGACCUCAGUUGUGAGCACAUCCAGAAGGAAAUCAUGAGACUCAAAGACUUAGUUAAUGAACCCGAGGUGAUCAAAAAUGUAUUAUAAUUAUUACUCGUUAACAUUAGCAUUAGUUGAUGCAUUAGUGAGCAUUAUUAUAUAGCAUUAGCAUAGGGGUUAGCGUCGGUGUGUUCUUCAUCGCUGAUGCGUCACUGCGUCACACACAGGAUGAUGGAGGGUGGAACCAGUUGGCCCGUGUCGCCUGUGUAGUUUAGAUUUCUGACUGCUUUAUUGGUUAGUUUUUGUGGUUGUAUCAAGGUUUAACUGAGUGAACAUCUGUACAAAUGUCAUGAUAUUUUUUUUUGUUUUGUUUUUUGGUCUUUCUUUACACAAUAGCUGUUCUGUCUGCCUUUGUAUACAGAUCUCGCAAACCUUCCUUUAUUACUGGUUGCAUUUAAAACACUGGUUAAAACAUUUUUGUCAUAUCUUGAUAUUCUUAUUUGAAUAGAACAGGGACAAACACAGAAAGCAAGCCCCCCUUCUGAGGCUGAAGUGUGCACGUUUAACUUGAUUGUGCCCCUGCCCCACCCAGAGACCAGAGCACUGCCACUGCAAGGCCAGUGGGGUGUUGAGGGGCGUAACAAUGCCCACAGAUAGGGCCGCCAUUUUUUCAUAAUAAUAACAGGACCGACCUUACGUCGUGACGUCAGGAGCGACGUUGAAUGGCAUCGACCCUUUCAGAUGGCAACGACCGUUUACGAAAGGGAAAUCUGCGUCGGCUACUCACACGUCCAGGUGAAACGCGAUGGGCGUCUUUGAAGGUCCGUGGAAGUCCGUGAGAGUACUGGGAAAGUCCGUGGAAGUCCGUGAAAGUCCUGAGGAAGGCAGUGGAAAGGACACAGGCGCUCCUCACUUCUUGUCGCGUGAUUUCCUUCGCCCGAGCCCGGUCAGCAAACCCGCGUGGUCACACCCGCUAUCUUGUGCGGCGGUCCCUCGGAAACCCCGGGGCAGUAGCGUCGCUAGCUGCGUUGGUUAGCAGGCCACUGUUCAGCUACUUUUGUCAAUUAAGUGACCGGGUCGUAUGUGACCCGGUCCGGUGGAGCUUUCAAGUUUGUGUUGAACUUUGUCCUCUUGUUAUGCGGAUAUGUCAUCCAACAAUACUUCACUCCCCGAGUAAAACAUGUGCUCUC